ACUGAAGCCAGAACAUGACGAUGGCAUGUGGUUUUUACUUGGUAUGGAGAAGACCAUAGAGACAGCCUGAAAUCCAUUAACAAGAUUAGUUUUUGCCUUGACACCAGGGGAGUAGCUUUUCUGAAAGCUUAUAAAAUAUUUUCAGAUCUUCACUAAUAAGGGUGCAAUAACAGUGAGAGAAAGUUCUAAUUCAUUUCACGCAGCUUAGCACUUUUUUAAACACAUUAGACUGCAAAUAUGUGCACUGACUGAACUCAAUUGCAUCGUUCCUUUCUCUUGCCAGUGACAACGUUCAAUCACAGUGAAGGACAAGGAAAAAUGGAGAAUGUGGUUAUACUGAUAAAAUGACCACCAAGCUGCCUCAAAAGUAUUCCUGUGCCAAAAAUUCUCCUCUGAAAUAAUUAGAAGUGCAAAUCAUUUCACAAAAUUUUCACAACCGAAGCAAUCAUGUCUGAAGAGGCAUUUAUCAUGGAUGACCUUUUAAGUGAGCUGCUUUUUCUGAAUGGUAUAGAGAGCUUAUGGAGAAGGAAAUGGCAACCCACUCCAAUAUUCUUG
ensembl:lncRNA